rnacentral:rRNA from 1 species
CAGUCGCCACGGUAAUACGGAGGGGGCAAGCGUUAAUCGGAAUUACUGGGCGUAAAGCGUGCGUAGGCGGUUCGUUAAGUCUGUUGUGAAAGCCCCGGGCUCAACCUGGGAAUGGCAAUGGAUACUGGCGAGCUAGAGUGUGUCAGAGGAUGGUGGAAUUCCCGGUGUAGCGGUGAAAUGCGUAGAGAUCGGGAGGAACAUCAGUGGCGAAGGCGGCCAUCUGGGACAACACUGACGCUGAGGCACGAAAGCGUGGGGAGCAAACGGGAUUAGAUACCCGUGUAGUCCCUGUCUCUUAUAC